UACAGAGGGUGCAAGCGUUGUUCGGAAUUACUGGGCGUAAAGCGCGUGUAGGCGGCUUAUUAAGUCGGACGUGAAAUCCCUUGGCUCAACCAAGGAACUGCGUCCGAUACUGUUAGGCUUGAGUGUCGGAGGGGGUGGCGGAAUUCCUGGUGUAGAGGUGAAAUUCGUAGAUAUUCGGAAGAACACCAGUGGCGAAGGCGGCUCACUGGUCCGGUACUGACGCUGAGGUGCGAAAGCGUGGGGAGCAAACAGG
rnacentral:rRNA from 1 species